UAUUAGAAUGCAGUCAGUAUUUUUGGCAGACAUUUUAAGGGUGUUUUAAAAUGAAAUAAUUAGAGAUGACAGUCUUAGAAGUAGCUGUUGUUUAUAAAUGUGAUUCAGGGGGCUUUUCUAUCACCACUUUUUAUCUCCCUGACACCUGGUACAUUCAUUACACCCUUCUGGCACUCACAAAGCUGGGCAGGUUCUGAGCUGGCCUGGCCUACUUCUCAACCGACUUCCCAGCCGUGUGUCCUGUUGCCUGCCAUCCUGGUCUCACGCUGACCUCCUUCUUCAUCUGUGUCAUCAUGGGGACUCCUCAGCUCACCUGAGACUCUCUUUCUCUCUCAAGGCAUGGAAGUCCCAUAUUUUUCCUGCCCAGCUAAAAGGCUAAUCAGCUCUUUAUUGACCAACCAGGAGAUGAUGGAGAACAGUGGUUCACAAAGUACUGAGCCAGGAAAGGCUCCUAUUUUCUCUUGUCUCCACUCUGCUCAGCCUGAGUUUUACAUACUACUGUCGGAAGCUCAGCGUUGCUUUGCAGCCUUUUCCUUUCACCUUUCUCUUACGGAACUAAACUUACCUAUUAAUACUUAACAGUAAUAAAAUUGGAAGUGAGGCAAGUAUAUGUCACUUUUAAGCUGAUUAUUACUUCAGUCAUUCUUAGCUAGUUAAAUAUCUUACUUUUCUACAUCCUUGUUUCCCAUUUUUUAUUUCCUGCUUGUCUCAUUAGCUUGUGAUUAAUGUAUGGUUUUUAGUCUUUUCUUUUCUAGAUAAUCAAAAUAGAACAUAAAAAAGGACUUCUGAAUUUUUUUCAUUCACUUUCUGUUUGUGCUUGUCACGGGCACAAAUACUUCCCUAACUACCUAUGUAUAUGUCGAAUAACAUAACUAAAAAUUUUAACCAUGUAAUUAUUCUUUUAGUCCAUAAGAAUAUGGGAUUACUCCUUUUUCCUACUUGUAUGUUAGACACCAUUGUUAGUGGUUCAGAAGCUAAAAGAGACUGUUCACAAUUCUCGUCCAGUAUAGUCUUCAGCAUUUACCUGCAGUGCUUUAAUUUUUUAAAAAAAGAGUUAGUAUAUAAAGUAAUGGGUUUUGUUAUGGCAAUUUUAUACUUAUAUGCCAAUAUACUGCAUUUUAAUUUAGCUCUUUUCUCCACUGCUCUUCCUUGUGCUCUCUGUCCCUCCACUCUCACUGGUUCCCUUCUUUCCAGGCCAGUGGUCCGCUCUUCCGCUUCAGGGAACAGUAUUUCAUUGGCCUCUCUUUCCCCUCCCUUAAGAUCUUUUCCUCUCCUUUUAUGAUUUCCUUUCUAGUUUCACACCUCUAUUUCUGUGUCUCUCUGGCUAUCUCUCUGUCUGUGUCUGUCUGUCUGUCUCUCAAAAUAUUCAAAUCUAUUUUCUUGAUCUGAGAGAAAAUAUGCUAUAUGUCUUUUGAGUCUGGCCUAUACUGUGUAACAUAAUGGAAGUCAUUCCUUUUAAAAUUAGAGCCUUUAUAAUCUGUUAUUUGCCUAACUUUCUGGCCCCUUCACUUGUACUUCCCAUUGCUAGUGCCAGCCAGCUCAUAUAAUUGUAGUUCCUUAAACAUACUCAGUUUUCUCUUCUGUGCCUUUGGAGUGCCCUUUACUUGGACUGUUAUUCUGCUGUUUCUGGUUCCCUUUCUUGUCAUCUGACAGCUGUUUCAAGCCUGUUUGGUGGUUAUUGACUGGAGUCAUUUCGUGAUGACUCCUCACUUUCUGUGCUCCCAUAGUGUCUCCAUUGUUGCCUUUAAAAUUAUACUGUAUUGUUUGUCACCUUGUGUGACUAUAAGCUCUAUGGGAACACAAAUGGAGUCUUUCAUUUCUCCCUGCAUUGGACAGAACACUGUGUUCAAAUGGAAGCAGGAAAAGAAACUGAACUUGAGUGUCUUUCAUGUGCCAGAAAAGUUAAGCUUAGGUAUCUAGAUACAAUAAAUUACGUUAAGUUGUCCCAAUAACUUUCUAAAACAUAUGAUUGUACCAUAUAUUAUUUUGCAUUAGCUGCAUCUUAUAGUUAGAAAUCUGAAGUUAAGUAGUUUGUCUAGUAGUUAAGUGUUAGAACUGGGGCAUAAGAAAAGACACAUUUUGACUCUAUAAUUUCUGGUAUUUCAUUUCUGUCAUACUGCUUUCUUAACUAUAUAGAUGUAUUAAUGGAGAUGAUGAGGUAUAGUGGUUUAAAGACCAUCUAUAUAGUCAUCAUGCAAAUGUGAGUUUACAUUUGAACUUUACAUUUAGCAAUUUUCAGAAUCUUAAUCUACGUAAACCAAAUUUUCUCUUUAAUUAUGAUUGAUAGCAUUAUUUACUUCAUAGGAUUGCCCUUAGAAUUAAAUAAAGGAAUGCAUGAGGACAGUUUUAUGCUGUGUUGGGUACAUAACACAUAUGAGUGAAUUGUAUCAGGUAAGGAUAUUUAUAAACAGCUUAUUGACUAGCACUAACUUUAGCAAAAUAAUAAAUAGUAAUAAUAAAAAGUUUUGAGGUAGUCUUCAGUGGGUAACCUCUUUCACAUUAUUGUUGGGUAUCUGUGAAGUUGCAAGUGUUAGCCUGCAGCUGGAGUAAAUGAGAAAGAAGGAAGAGUAGGUAUCAGCCAUGUCUGUAUAUCUUACUAGAAGGGAAAAAAAAGCCUUUUAAAGUUCACAUUAUAUCUCAGUUCUGAAGUUGGUUUUGUGGAAGACUGUAGUAAUUUAAUUGUUCUCCUAAUUAUCUAAACUUUAAUGAAAAAGAUCAAGAAAGUGGAACAUAUGUUUGAGAUUAGAUCAUCUUUCUUCUCGAGGGAGAGCUCAUGGCUCCCUCACCUAAAGUUAAGGAAAGUAUCUUCCUCAGUGAUUGAUGGUGGGGUUUUGUAAUGAAACAGCCCAAAAAACUGUUAUACAGUAUGUUUAUUCAUAAUUUGAAGCAAUAAAAGAGCAUUAUGCAUUGUUUCAAUUCAUAUCAAGGAAAAUCUAAGAGUAAAUUAACUGUGUUCCUAUAUAAUAUUUAGGUAUUAACAUAUUUUUACCACCCAAGUGUGAGGAGCAGAGUUAGAUCCUCAGAACUUAUGGAAAGCGGGGAUAUACUGGUAGCAUAAGUCUGUGUCUCAGGGUACCUAUGCCAAGAGGGGAAUGAGAAACAUGAGGAUCACUGGAAGCUCAGGUUAGCCUACCUGGUGUAUGCAUCUGUGAUCAACAAGAGAUCCUACCUUCAGACAGGCUGGAAGUCAAGAAUUGACACCCGAGGUUGUCUUUUGAUCUCCACAUGAAAUGCUUAAGUGCCUGUGCACCUGUUACCUCCAAACCCCUUCUCACAUU
ensembl:sense_intronic Gm43259 predicted gene 43259